AAAUGUAGCCGCCCCUGACAUAGGAAGGGUUAAUAAUCACUGGAAAAAGCUUGCCAACAAACUGUGACCCGGAGGUGAGAAGGCCGGUUAGCCAAUGACGGGUAAGACCCCCUGGGGGGGCAACCUAAGCCAGGCGGCGGCCGCCCGGGGGCACAGAUGGAGAAACGAUAUCGAUAUCGGGAGCAAGAGGGACCGUUGCCUAAGAGACCUUGCCUGCUCUGAGAUAAAAAUAUAGGAGCACAGCAACAACAUGAUAAUAUCAAAACAGAGGCCAAGAGAGGGCUCCUUGAGAAAUCACUAAGAAUUCUUGGCAUUCGCUAAUUACUUCAUCCAGAACACCUGUGUAUGUUUAACAGAUGUAAGCUAUGUAUAUAUUGAAACGCUGGUUAUAAUAAACUCAGAGUGGCCAUCAGCCCUCUCCGCAUCUAUCCUGAUGUGUACAUUGGAUUGCGACACCGACAGCAAAUACUUCUAUUUCAUGCCAAAUUCACCUUGGUAUGAAAGAUGAUUCCUUUCCUGGAUUGUUUUCAGAUACUGCUCCUCCUCUGUUUCCAGAGGGCUCUGUAUCUCUCAGUGCAUUCCCCUCUUACACCUCCCCCCAAACUUCUCCCCGAUCCCAACCUGUGUAUUAUAGCAACAUUUCUAGGUGUGUGUCUCCCAUCCCCACCAGCCUCUAAGAGCCAGGGAAGUCUAACCUGUCUUUUACUUUCUCUGUAUCCUCCCAGGGCAAAGCACAGGGCCUGGAACAUAGUACAUACUGAGUAAAUGUGGCCAACUUAACCAUAAAGAAAAACAUUUGCCUGACCUUUGAAGCUUGGUGGUGUGACAGCAGUACUAGGAAUCACACUUCCUGUUCCAAUGUGGUUUUCUAACAUUAUUGUGGGGAAUAUUAAACUGGAGUCAGGAGACUUGAGCCAGACCAGUUUUCUUGGUCUCUUCUUCUAAGACCUUGGGUGAGGCACUUAAUGGCUUUGGUUCCAUUUUUUUCACCUUCAGUGGCUACAAAAACAUCUAUAGAUGGAGUUGUAGUGAGGACCAAAUGCAACAGCACAUUACCAAAUAUAUGGAAUUACAUUGAUUGCUUACAUUUAAAACAAAAAGGCAACACAUUUUCUAUUGCACAUAGGGCUAUAAAGAACACUAAAAACAACCUUUAAACAGAAAAUUUCAUAUGAGAUUAUCCAGGAGGCUUUCUUCCAAGAUCAGCCAAAAAUUUUGGGGGUGGGGGGAACUAUAUUCUCAUUGCCUGAACUUUGAAGCAAGAAAAUUCGAACAUUUACUAGCAUUAGCCGAUUCCUACUUGUUGAUGAGAAAUCAGCACAACUGCCAACCCUUCAGUCUUUGAAGGGAUUUCAAGCUUUAUCUUGAUUUGAUGAUUAAAAAAAAAAAUCAACCAAAGACACAUUUUCUAAGCCCUUGUCUGGCCCUACCCAUUGGAAAAGUGUGAGCUACUGUUCUAUCAAAACUUAUUAAACUUUAAAUGUAUAACAACUCUCAAUGACCAAGGUUAAUGGGACUCCAUGCAUACAUGAUUAUCUCUUAUAUUUAUACAGUGCUUUUAACUUCUUCAAAGCACUUUCCACUUUACUGCAUAUAUAAAACAGAUAGAUUUUUUCUAAAUCCACAAAUAAGGUAAAAAAGCAAUCUUGGAAUGAGCAAUUUCAACUCUGUACCUUUCCAAAGCUAUUAGAACUAGUAAAAUUGUCUAACAGGACUUUCAUCACCCCACUCUCUUCUUGACCCCUCUCCACUAAAGCUGAGAAAUGACUGAAAGAUCUGGAGGAAUCUCCAGAAGAAAGGAGCCAAAAAGGAAAGGAAGCCAGGGACCUGGGCCAUCCACAAUCUAGAUCAUUAGCUCCAGCGCCAUUAAGAAUAAUUGACUGUACAUGUGACUAUAUCCAGAAAGUCCAGAAAGAGAUGAAAAGACAUAGGAAAUGAUGUGUGAGCAACAGUAUUUACAGGGCUCUUGUCAUUGCCAUUCUCUCAACAAGCAUUAUUGAGCACCUACUGUAUGCCAUAUGCUUUCAACAAAGAAGAUGGAUACACAAUGAACAACCCAGGCAAGACUGCUAUUGCCGCGGAGAUGGCCUUCCUGAAUGGUGCAGACAGACAACAAACAAGAACAUAAACACACAUAACUUCACAGAAACAAGAUAGCUUCAGGUAGCACUAGGCUCUGUGAAGUCCAUAAACACCGGAAUGUCAAAGUCAGAGCCUUCAGGAGAGGAAGUUAUUGUAGAUAAGCUCGCUAGGGAAGGCCUCUCAGGGUAUUUGAGUGGCAACCUGCGAGAGGAGCCCAUCUUUGCAGGUCUGCUAAGCAGAUGGUGGAAUAAAUGCACUUGCCAAGUAUGCUAGAGGGAGGGAGGUCCAGACCCGUUCCAGUUCUGUGGUUGUUCAUUUUGUGUCCUUUUGGGGAUAUUCCUAAAACCUCUCCAGGACCCCUGAUUUAUUGCCUCUACAAUGGGGGUUGCUAAUACUGAUCACCUCAACACGGGUGCUCUGAGGAAUAACGGGUAAACAAUUGUGAGGAGUUAUUUAAUGCUAGAUAAUGAUCAUAGUAAUAACCUUUUAUUAAAGUCAGCACCGUAAUAGGCCGCUCACACUCCUUGCCUCAGCAAACGUAUAAUUGACACAGCUGCUCCAUGCACACACCAGCACCUUCCUUUAAAAUACAACAAGUAAAUGAGCCAACAGUCCUGAUAUUCAAGGCAGUUAGUGAUCAACCAAGUGUUUUGAGAGAAAGUUGGAUUGUGAAGCAUAAAUGGGAGCAGCAAGAUAAUGGCACAUUACAGCCCAGAGCAAGCAGAGGGUAACUGGUGAACCAACUGGAUGCUUGCUGGUGCACACACCACCUGUGACAGGGUGGUAAUUCUGACCUCGUCAGGAUGAGGUACUGCCACCACCAAAAGCCCUGGCAGAUGGAAGUGGGGUGAGGAGCCAGAUCAGCAGCAUCUCUGCCAGCAGCCUCUUCUGGCCGUCCUGACCUUGCAAAGCCUCCCCUGGGGGAGGACUGAGCAGCCAGCACCAAGGGGCCCUACCUUGGAAGGGCACCAAGGAAGUGGGGAGGGAGGGAGAAGAGGCACGAGCACUGCAUUGUUUCCUUCCUAGAAUGAACUAGCCCAACGCCAGGAGAGACCGUUGUCUUCAUACCUGAGCCUCCCCACACAGAGCUAUGAAUCCACCCCCUAGCAGCUCCUCUUCCUUCCACCCAAAUCGCUCCCCAGAACAGAACAUUAACACCACAAAAAUGAAGGCUUUUUUGUGGGUCCUACCACCUCUUUGAUAUAAAUAUGCAUGUGCCUAAACAUUCUUUCCUGUCUCCCACCUACAUCCUCAAUCACAUUGUGUGAUACACACACACACACACACACACACACACACAAACACACCCAUCGCCUUUGUUAAGCUCUGGCUCAGCUAUUAGAGUGCCUGUGAAGUGUAUGUCACAUAGCAGAAAAGUUUAAAUUAUUGUUGCUUCUUCUCUGAAAAGCAGAAAGGAAGACAGAAAAAAGAAAGCACUUAUUUUAAGGCUGAUACUAAACACUUUGUCCCAUGUUGACUGAGCAGGUCACUUUCCCAGUGUGGGAACGGGGAGAAUCGAGAGGAUCUCUGAGGUGCUAAGAACCGCAGUGCAUACUUCACGCUUUGAGGCUUGAUUAGAAAGUACGGGGGUUAAAAAGAUAAUCCUAGUCGUCAAGAAAUUAUGGUAUAAACUGGGGUUGGGGAGGAUCAAGAUCCUCAAAAAUAUCUAAUUGAUUUUAAUCAAAUGGACUAAUUUCAAAAUGUCAAAUAUGCUGGGAUAUUAUAUUUAAAUUACUUUGGGCAAGCAUGUUGCAUGGGACAUCCUAAGUGCUCACUCAAUUUCCUGCUGGUAAGUGAGUUAUUUCCAUCUGCCAUGUCUCCGGCAGCUUGGACCUGAACCAUUUAUUCAAGUGUACCACUUGUUCCAGUGUUUAGUUCCCAAAAAAUAGUCAAUGCAGGAAUCUACGGAGAAUUGUCCUAAGGAGAUGUCAUCGUCAUGGCCAGAUCAGUCUGGACUAAGUUGGUUAGUUAACAGGAUGACCUAAAUGCCUUCCAGAUCUUGUUUGGUAAGUGUUUUUAAUGCCUUGUCAAUAAUGGACUGUCAACAAGGUGAGGGAUAAAUCACAAGGAGCAAAGGCACCUACUCAGAUCCUGUGCUUUUAAAUUCAGCUAACCCAUACUCAAUAAAAUCCAGUAUCAAACCCCAAGGAAUGGUUCCCAAUUACUGUUGGACCUUUUAUUUCACUGUGCUUUGUUUUUGUUCAAGUCUCUAUUUCUGUUUUUACCUGGCACUUGACUUUCUUGACUCUCUUUCUCCUCCCAGCUUCUGGCUCUGUGUUCCUUCUCUGGAUUUGAUGAGUAAUUUUGGCUUGCCUCCUUUUCACCCUUGGCACUCCUUUGAAAAUGGGUUAGGUUUCUCUUCUGGUUCUUUCUACUUGUGGCUGCUUGGAUGUUUUCAUCCUACUCAGCCAAGUUUUGAUCCCAGAACCUUUCCCUGGCUUUGAUCUGUCUCAGUGGUAUCCGUGAUGGGCUGGAUUCCUUCAGGUUGGGGCAUGGGCAAGAGGAAGGAUCAAGCAAAAAUCAAGCAUGGAAAUAGGAAGAAUAUCUGGUUCAAUUUAAACUGUGCAGGAUCCUGCGGCCUUGCGGGUUGUACAGUUUCUGCCUUCUUCUUCCUCUGCUGUCUCUGACCCUUUCAAUUUUAUUACGUCUUCACCCUCUAACUGGUCGAUCCUCUUCUAGCAUCCCCGUGUAAGAUGUAAGUGGGAAUGAGAAUGAAGGAUAUUCACUAGCCAAAAUAAAUUUGAAAGUUGGGAGAAAUCUCUGGAUCGCUAGUAUCUUUAUAGCGCUUAUCAAAUGCCAUUGAACCAUAUUAGUUGGCAAACUGUUCUGGCUUCCCAUGGAGUCAGCUGGUAGGUAAGUCAAUGAAUAUCUGUCAAAUGAAUGAAUGAAUGCACACUAGUUGUAUAGCAUAGCAUCAGGUACUUUAACAAAGUAUAAGACUUCAUCCUUGGCUGAAGAAGGACAUCUUCUCAUGCCCAUUCACAAAAAGACUGAACAUCACUGAAGGCCAGACUAGGUUCAGAAUUUCUUCUAGAAAAUAAGAAGUCAUCUCAAUGCACAACCGCUUCAUGUGGGCAAAACGGAAUGUGAGCAAAGCCCUGGUUAUGGCAUAAGAGACACCCACGGGCUAAUGAACUUCGAAGGUGAACAAUGAAUUACUAUCAGUGGACUUUGUAAAUAAUUUCUUCACAAAGAGCAAAAUGCAUAAAACCUAAACAAGGAGAAUGAAGUGAACAUUCAUAGACCCACCACCCAUGUCAAGUCAUAUAACAUGGAUAGCGCCCCAGAAGCCUCUACUCUCCUGUCUGAUUAAUAAUCUUUUACUUAUUUUUCUUCAUAAUUUCCACCUAUAUAAACUCCCCUAAAACGUUUAAUUUUACCCAGUUUUGAAAUCAAAAUAGAUAAAAAAAGAAAAACAAUUUCGAGCAAUUCAACAUCAGACAUGAAAAAGAAAACUAGCUUUUUCUUAAGAUAUUUUGAAGUGUACAAUUUCUACUAGUGAUAAAGACAUUCACCUUUCAUUCCACUUUUGAGCUUGCUGACUGCCAGUCACUCUACUCCUUAAUACUUCAAAAGUAUUCUUCCCAAAGCUGCCUUUGGUCUUAUACUAAUGCUUUCCUGGACUCAAUGGAACUUUGAAGGGUACUGAGCUCAUGACGAUGAAAUGGAUGUUGGCACUCCAUGAUCAUCACCGUAAUUAUUCCCAAUUUGUACUUUACUUCAAAAAGUCUCUUUCCCUGACCCCUAAAGUCUGUACUUUCAAAAUAGUACCCACAGCUUUAAUUAUACCUGACAAUAAACUUCUCUCACCACAAAAUCUGUUUGAUCAUGGACUACACCUAUCAUUAUCUUCAAAUAUGCUAUUUUUUAAAAAUCCCAUUUAUAUCAGGCUCCCAAAGAGUUAUAAUAUUAGCAAUGGUGAUUUUAACUGUUUCUGUAAUUAGUGUUUAUAAAUUAUUUCAAAUUAAGGCUGUGCAAAUGAUUGGAUGCUGGUUGAAUUAUCUACCGAACUGGGGUGAAAUGGUCAUUUAAACCACUGUACUGAACAAAUCUACAGAAUAAAAGCUGAAAUGGAACUUGAGUGAUUUGGUCUCCAUAGAGAAUCAAAUCAGAUGCUGUGGUGUUAACAAGGUACUUCAGGGCCAGAAUAAUCCUGCUAAUGACACUUCUUCCAAAUGAAUCAGCUAAUGUCAGUUUCCAUGAAGAAGAGAUCUUCUUGUCGGUCCUGGUGAGAUAGGAUUUGGGAAGCAGAGAGUAGCAGGGAAAGCUCCCGGUGAUAGGAUCAGUUAAGCAAAGGACAGAAGACAAAAAGGAGAAGGCUGUAUUUGUGAGAACUGUUUAUACCAUAAGUGCUGUAAUUAUAAGCUUACGAUGUUGCCACACUGCUUUGUGAAACAUUUUUGUUGUUUAUUAUUCUCCUUGAUCCAGAUUUCAUAUUUUUCAUGAUGUAAUAAAUGGUGAGAUCUAGUCUCAUUUUCCCGUGUAUUUGGAUACGGUGAGAAGAAUGCUGUGACUGAGUCAAUAGUUUCAUGUAGGGGAGACUGGAGAAACAAGAUUGGCAAGGAAGGUUAGGUCAGACUAUGAAAAUCCUUAAAAUGCUGAUAUUGGACUUUAUCUUUCAGAAGUCAUUUAGUGUCUUGUUUUUUCUUUGAAUUGGGAGCACCGUGAGAAAAAGAGUGUUGUUGACAGUUUCUACUGGGAUAAAGACUCUAGGCAGGGAGAUUAGGUAAGACGACAUAGCAAUAAUUCGGGUAUUAAGAAAUAAUGCAGGCUGGCGCUGGUGGCAAUAGAUUGGAAAGGAAGGAUGGAUGCAGCAUUAUAGGGAGAAUUUGGUUUCUUUCUCUUUGUCUUUUCAGCCACUUGAGCUUAAUACUGCUCAGUCUUCCUGAUUUAUUUCCCUUCCCAUUUGUAUUUUCCUUCUUUCCUUAAUAAUAGACUAUUUCUUUCUCAAGUUUUCCCUCUCUUCUUUACUUUGCCUGCAAUUAAAAAAAAUUAUCUUAUUACCUUCCUAUACAGGAUAAUGACUAAAUCAGUUAGGCAGAUAUCAAAUGAGAGAUAUGGGUAGAAAUUGACCAUAAGAUUUACUAAUUAGAAUAUGUUGCUGCUUUAAUUUUUUUUUUUUUUUUACCUUUUAUCUUCAGUUACAAAGAAGGAAAGAAAAGAAGAAAUGUGAUGAGGGGAAAAAAAGAGUAGAAUGGAAAAGGGAGAGACAGAGACUUUCAAUUAUUCAUUCAUUCAAGUUCUGUGUUUCCAGAGAAAGUGAAAGAGCCAAAGAGAGAAAAUACAACAAAAUAAUUUAUGUUAUUGUAAUUUCACUAUGUAUUUCCCCUUCUAACUCAGUUGGGUAAAGUAGAGAUGUGAAGAUGGGAGGCAAAAGACUAAGGUGAGAUGGGUAGUCUCUUUCCCUCCCUUUAUGGCAUGUUGUUUCUCAUAUCAAAAGGUGGAGUCUACGUCCCUACCCCUAGGCCUCAAUGACUGGUUCAACCAAUAGGAUGCUGUGGAAGUGACUUUCGGCCCCCCGCUACAUAGUUGUAUAUUCUUCGUUGUGGGUCCUUCCAGUUGUGGCAUGUGGGACCUCAGCGUGGUUUGAUGAGCAGUGCCAUGUCCGCGCCCAGGAUCUGAACCAACGAAACACUGGGCCGCCUGCAGCGGAGCGCGCGAACUUAACCACUCAGCCACGGGGCCAGCCCCCAACGUAUUUUUUCUUUUAAAGUUCACUGUAUUAUUCAUUAGCCUUGAAAUUGGAAUCUGAAUUGACCUUAAUCAGAAAUCAUAGAAAAUGUUUAAGCAAAUAUUUUAAGCCCUAUCAUAUUCUGAGUACUGGUUCAGGAUAAAGUGGUAUCAAUGUGACAAGAAUAAACGACAGGUAAUCAGAAGAUGGAGUUUAAAUCCUAGUUCUGUCAUUUAAUACUGUGUGACCUAGGGCAAGUUAUAUAACAUCUCUGAUUUCUAGGUUCCAAUGCUAUAAUUUUUUGAAAGUAUUAGUGAUGCCCGACAAAAUGCAGAUAUUCAACACAUUUCCAUUUCUUUCCUUCUAUGGAAGUCCUGUGUUCCUAAGUACAAGCGUCUCAAAGCUUAUCAUACUGCUUCCUAAAACUGAGUAUUUUUAUUAUUUAGCAAGGAUUCCCUUGAUAAAUAUUUCAUAAGCUUCCAUAGUGUUGCCUUUACUAGCGUGAUCUACCCUACUUUUCCUGUGAGAUAGCUUGUUUAAUAGAUUUUGGGGACUCAUUCUGUUGCUAGAUUCUCACAAAGGCACUUUCGUGACAACCUUCUUUGAUUUUCAAGGACAUAACUCUCUUUCACAUCUUGAAUGUGGUACCCUACCCUCGUGCAAAUGCUAAUAAGCACAUAUUAAACAGGAAUUUUAAUUCCCUUUCUCAUAUGUUUAUGUAUUUAAAUUUGAGUCAAAUUGAUAUAAUAGGUAACUUUAAGUUAUAAUUGAUAACUUACUUUAAAAAUUUGGACACCAGAUCACCAGUUAGAGCAUCUGGAACCCAUAAUUUAAUAAUAGCGUUUUUCAAACUGCAGGUCCUGACUUGCUACUGGAUUACGAAAUAAUUCUGGGAGCUGUGACAAGCACUUAAAGAUCAAUGAAAUGAAAUGGAAUAGAUAAUAUUAGAGUGCAUCAUGUGUAAUGAAGGAAAAAUAAAGUUUCAUAAAACUUUUGUACCA
ensembl:lncRNA